rnacentral:rRNA from 2 species
GCGGCGAACGGGUGAGUAACACGUGGGUGAUCUGCCCUGCACUUCGGGAUAAGCCUGGGAAACUGGGUCUAAUACCGGAUAUGACCUCCUAUCGCAUGGUGGGUGGUGGAAAGAUUUAUCGGUGCAGGAUGGGCCCGCGGCCUAUCAGCUUGUUGGUGGGGUAAUGGCCUACCAAGGCGACGACGGGUAGCCGACCUGAGAGGGUGACCGGCCACACUGGGACUGAGACACGGCCCAGACUCCUACGGGAGGCAGCAGUGGGGAAUAUUGCACAAUGGGCGAAAGCCUGAUGCAGCGACGCCGCGUGAGGGAUGACGGCCUUCGGGUUGUAAACCUCUUUCAGCAGGGACGAAGCGCAAGUGACGGUACCUGCAGAAGAAGCACCGGCUAACUACGUGCCAGCAGCCGCGGUAAUACGUAGGGUGCAAGCGUUGUCCGGAAUUACUGGGCGUAAAGAGUUCGUAGGCGGUUUGUCGCGUCGUUUGUGAAAACCAGCAGCUCAACUGCUGGCUUGCAGGCGAUACGGGCAGACUUGAGUACUGCAGGGGAGACUGGAAUUCCUGGUGUAGCGGUGAAAUGCGCAGAUAUCAGGAGGAACACCGGUGGCGAAGGCGGGUCUCUGGGCAGUAACUGACGCUGAGGAACGAAAGCGUGGGUAGCGAACAGGAUUAGAUACCCUGGUAGUCCACGCCGUAAACGGUGGGCGCUAGGUGUGGGUUCCUUCCACGGAAUCCGUGCCGUAGCUAACGCA